GCCCAGAUAGCUCAGUUGGUAGAGCAGAGGACUGAAAAUCCUCGUGUCGCUGGUUCGAUUCCGGCUCUGGGCA
rfam:Hespellia stercorisuis DSM 15480 genome assembly, contig: EJ65DRAFT_scaffold00022.22